UACGUAGGGUGCAAGCGCUGUCCGGAAUUAUUGGGCGUAAAGAGCGUGUAGGCGGCUUUACAGGUCCGUUGUGAAAACUCGAGGCUCAACCUCGAGACGCCGGUGGAAACCGUAAAGCUAGAGUCCGGAAGAGGAGAGUGGAAUUCCUGGUGUAGCGGUGAAAUGCGCAGAUAUCAGGAGGAACACCCGUGGCGAAAGCGGCUCUCUGGGACGGUACUGACGCUGAGACGCGAAAGCGUGGGGAGCAAACAGG
rnacentral:rRNA from 1 species